rnacentral:rRNA from 1 species
UACAGAGGGUGCGAGCGUUGUCCGGAAUCACUGGGCGUAAAGGGCGCGUAGGUGGCGGGAUAAGCGUGUGGUGAAAGCCCGGGGCUCAACCCCGGGUCUGCCAUGCGGACUGUCUUGCUCGAGCGUAGUAGAGGCAGGUGGAAUUCCGGGUGUAGCGGUGGAAUGCGUAGAGAUCCGGAAGAACACCGGUGGCGAAGGCGGCCUGCUGGGCUACUGCUGACACUGAGGCGCGACAGCGUGGGAGCAAACAGG